GGAACCUGCGGAAGGAUCAUUAUUGAAAUAAACCUGAUGGGUUGUUGCUGGCUCUCUAGGGGGCAUGUGCACACCUUGUCAUCUUUAUAUCUCCACCUGUGCACUUUUUGUAGACCUUUCAGGUCUAUGUUGCUUCAUUUACCCCAAUGUAUGUUAAUAGAAUGUUGUGACUAUAUAAUUUAUACAACUUUCAGCAACGGAUCUCUUGGCUCUCGCAUCGAUGAAGAACGCAGCGAAAUGCGAUAAGUAAUGUGAAUUGCAGAAUUCAGUGAAUCAUCGAAUCUUUGAACGCACCUUGCGCUCCUUGGUAUUCCGAGGAGCAUGCCUGUUUGAGUGUCAUUAAUAUAUAUAUCAACCCUCUCUUUGUUGAGUGGUUUGGAUGUGGGGGUUUGCUGGCCUCUUAAAUGGUUCAGCUCCCCUGAAAUGCAUUAGCAGAACAACCCUAGUUCAUUGGUGUGAUAACUAUCUACGCUAUUGAAUGUGAAGGGAAGUUCAGCUUUCUAACUGUCUUUGGACAAUUCAUCAUUAAUGUGACCUCAAAUCAGGUAGGACUACCCGCUGAACUUAA
rnacentral:rRNA from 1 species